rnacentral:rRNA from 2 species
UACGUAGGGUGCGAGCGUUAAUCGGAAUUACUGGGCGUAAAGCGUGCGCAGGCGGUUCGCCAAGUCAGGUGUGAAAUCCCCGGGCUCAACCUGGGAAUUGCGCUUGAAACUAGCGAGCUUGAGUGUGGCAGAGGGGGGUGGAAUUCCACGUGUAGCAGUGAAAUGCGUAGAGAUGUGGAGGAACACCGAUGGCGAAGGCAGCCCCCUGGGUCAACACUGACGCUCAUGCACGAAAGCGUGGGGAGCAAACAGG